rnacentral:tRNA from 1 species
GUGGGUGUAGCUCAGCUGGUAGAGCACCGGGUUGUGGCCUCGGUUGUCGUGGGUUCAAGCCCCAUCACUCACCCCA